rnacentral:rRNA from 1 species
GACGAACGCUGGCGGCGUGCUUAACACAUGCAAGUCGAGCGGUAAGGCCCUUUCGGGGGUACACGAGCGGCGAACGGGUGAGUAACACGUGGGUGACCUGCCUUUAGCUCUGGGAUAAGCCUGGGAAACUGGGUCUAAUACCGGAUAUGACUCCAUGACGCAUGUUGUGGGGUGGGAAGCCUUGUGCGGCUGAGGAUGGGCCCGCGGCCUAUCAGCUUGUUGGUGGGGUGAUGGCCACCAAGGCGACGACGGGUAGCCGGCCUGAGAGGGCGACCGGCCACACUGGGACUGAGAUACGGCCCAGACUCCUACGGGAGGCAGCAGUGGGGAAUCUUGCGCAAUGGGCGAAAGCCUGACGCAGCGACGCCGCGUGAGGGAUGACGGCCUGG